rnacentral:lncRNA from 13 species
AUGUGUAUACCCCCAAGUAUUCUUUGGCUGCUCACAAGUAGAAAAUGGGUUCAUGAAAAAGGUAAUGAGAUCUCUCAUUUUUACAUCCUGGAAAUCAGAGCUCCCACUUUGAACCUGAAAUUCAGGAUAUUAACUCUGAUGAACCAUUUUUUUAAGGUUUCUAUUGUACAAUUUCUCAUUAAAAACUUCCUCAGCAUUUUUGGAGAAGACAUCACUUCUCCCUUGGGGAAGAAAGAACUCAAUGACUUGUAGAAAUGUUACUAGGGGAGUACUCAGAUGGUAGGUUCUUGGCCUCUCUAAUCUUGAAGAAUGGGAAAGGGGCCCCAGAGAUGCCCUGAGUUUACCAUCUGAAUGAAAUCGUGGACCAAAAGAGUUUUGCGGAAGAGCAAUUUAUUAAGGGGUGGGGAGAGGAUAGCUCCCACGUGGUUGUCGGAGGGGAACCCAGAGAGGGAAAUCUGUUCAGGUAGGAGGAGCUGAAGUUUUAACCCUUGAGUUAUUCCCUCCCCACUCAUGUUCUCAUCCAAUGAGAGGAGUUCUUUCAAACUUCCGCUGGAGUGAUUGAUCUUUGACUUUGAUACCAGUUUGGCUACUUUUUCUAUGACCCUGAGUUACAAAGUCCUCUCCUCCCAGAACUUUCUGGGGGAAUUAGGGACAAAGGAGCGCCACUUGGCUUUCCUGCUUGCAGGAAAAUUAGAUAAAGAAUUUUACCUGGCCCACAUAGAGGAGGUGCUUAAGGAGUCUCAGCAUCCUGAGGCAGGGAGCCGGGAAAUUCCUCCCCAUCUGAGCCGGGGAGCCAGGAAACCCCUCCCUUAGCAUGGCCUCAGGAAUAGAAUUUUCUUUAAUACAGUCCCUCAGUAACAGUGAUGCUUCAAGUACCUUGGAAAAUUUAGCUGGUUUUGAUGAGAAACAGUCAGUGGGGUUGCCAGGGGUCCUGGCAGAUGCUUAGGCAGUGGCGGUCCUGGAGUCCAAGGCAUGCCCCAAACCCAUUGAUGCAGGACCCAGGACUCCAUCUCCUCAUUGUUCAUAAGGUUGGCUCACAGGUUAUCUGUUGAGAAAGUCAUCUGCUCCUUCUUCAUUGUGCUCACUGAAUAAGGACAUUCCAAGAUCCCCGCUCAUCCCAUUUGAGCUAUCCUUUUCCUAAUCUCAUCCAUCUGUGUUCAAGAAAAUCUUCCCUCUCAUUUCUUCCAUGUUGUAUUACUUUUUUAUUCAUAAUAAAUGCACAUAUUUUUGGUGUGUACA